rnacentral:sRNA from 1 species
UUCUUGGCGCUAGUGGCAUCGUCACCAGGACACCGGCCUUGGGAGGGCGAGCACUGCAUCCAUGGGUCCCCUGAGGCCUUAGAGAUGACUCUCCCAGAAGUGGCAGCCACGGCAGGGACACCAGGGUCAUGAGGGACAUGGGAGGUGAACCCGCUGCUCAAUUCCUGGCCCUCGUCCCUUAGACCCAUUCCUCGGAGCAGAGCUGGGGGAAGCUGAGAUUUCUGUGGGCUGCGUGCCCACCUCCUCCCUCUUCGUUGGUCCUCCCACGCGCCCGCCCCCGAGUGGGAGCAGAGCCAUGUGAGCUGAGUUGGAGCUGCUCGCUGCCGAGAAUUGCAUCAGCCCCGCCUGGCAGGCUGGAGCGGGAGCCUGUUGCUAUGGUGACCACCAGGCUUCAAACCAGUGAGAAGGAUGAGAUGGUUGCUGGGCGAGGUUUUCUCACCAUGUGAUGCGUGUGACAGGCUGACAGGUUCGGUAGACCUGGACCCCAGCCCUCCCACUUCAGCUACGGGACGGACGAGUACGACGGAGAGGGGAAUGAG